UGCUCUAAUCUCUUUUGUGAACGUUGAUCAAAGUUCACUCUAUGAUCCUCGAAUAUGUUUUUUUGAAGAGCUCCAGAAGCACAAAGGUCGACAGUAAACCAGAAGAAGAAGAA